CAGAGGGAAGUCCCGGCAGGAGAGCAUAUCCCCCAGGUCUCCCCCUGCCACGUGGGAGUCCUGCCAUGACUGAGCUGUUCGUGCUGUGCUGCUUCCCAGUGCUCAUGGACUGAAGUGAUAUCAAAAGAAAUUAUUUUAUUAUCAAUAGGGCACAGCAAGAAAAUGGCCAUCUGUAAUCCAGGAAGAGAGAACAGAGCAUGACUACACUGGCAUCGAGACCAUGGAUUUCCAGCCUCCGG